CGCCGCUUGUGUAGUUCUUCCCGAUGCCUCCCCAUCCUCCAUCAGCCACCGCUGUGGGCUGUGGUUCUGGGCCGGUCACAGGUCGCUGCUGAGGAGCAGAGGAGGACGGCGGGGAGGGAGAAGGAGCACAGGAGGACGGCACUGGGGGAAGGAGAAGCGAAGCCGGAGGCCGAGACGGUGCUCGCGUCAUGUGUCGGACGCUGCUCGUCGGCCCUAGUUGUCGUCCUCAAUCUAGUAUGAUGUGUGAAGAUCUGAGACAAAAAAGAAGAGGAAGAAUUUUGACGAAGAGUUGGGUCAUGGGGAACAAAGGUCAUCAGAACAUACAUAACUGUUGCCGAAGCCCUCUUGCUAAAGAGGAAAGCACAAGAAGAUAUGAUCGAAUUAAAUGGGUAGUGCAUUUAUCUUGUUGGUUAGUUCCCUCAUCGGCCUACUUACUGUUACCUGCGAGUUUCAGGUAUAAUACUCCCCCCCCCCCUAGCAAAGGGUGAAUUCUCUGGUUUUGAUUGCCAGGAGAAACUCCAUGAGUCUUGAGGAUUUUCGGGAAUGUUGGAAUCAGUGGUGUUUUGUUUUUGAUGAUAUUAUCCGAUAGAGGUGACAAGGAGAGAAGAUGCUAGCUCAAUGGUGCUGGCCAUGAAGGAUUUUGGUGCAUCCAAGGAUAUAACCAACAUAAACACAAUGCUUACAAGGAGAUAUCGGCUCAUUUGAUUGCUAUAUUGGCUUUGGUCACCCUUGCGAGGCUCCUUAUCUUUGAAGCAAGGGUCGGAUGCUCUUUGGACUCAGGAAGACGAACAUGAUAGAAAAAGAAAGGGAUCAACCUUGCCAUGACCCCAUAUUUCUGUAGGCUAAUAUCCCUUAUUUGCACUAUCCUACACCGAAUACUUAUAGGGUUAUGUGCCUUUGCCAUGCAGCACAUGUCAAUGGCAGUUCAGGAAGAGAUGACAUCACA